AAUGCGUGCAGGCAAACCCGGAGUGAUCCGGCGACGCAAAACUAAAGGGACUCACGCGCUGACGGCGCGUGAGUUUGCCAGUUGCCCGC
rnacentral:ncRNA from 1 species